rnacentral:rRNA from 1 species
CAAGUCGAGCGAGAAAGUCCUUCGGGAUGAGUACAGCGGCGAACGGGUGAGCAACGCGAUGAGAAUCUGCCCUUCAGUGAAGAANAUCUCCGAGAAAUCGGGGUUAAUGCUGCAUAAGUCCCUUAGGGGAGAAAGAUGGCCUCUUUGCUGUUGCUGAAGGAUGAGCUUGCGUACUAUUAGCUAGUUGGUGGGGUAAAGGCCUACCAAGGCGAUGAUGGUUAACCGGCCUGAGAGGGUGUACGGUCACAUUGGAACUGAGAAACGGUCCAGACUCCUACGGGAGGCAGCAGUGGGGAAUCUUGCGCAAUGGGCGAAAGCCUGACGCAGCGACGCCGCGUGGAGGAUGAAGGUCUUUGGAUUGUAAACUUCUGUUAAGUGGGAAAAAAGACUUGUUUAUAAUACAUACAAGUGAUGAUGGUACCACUAGAGAAAGUACCGGCUAAUCUCGUGCCAGCAGCCGCGGUAAUACGAGAGGUACAAGCGUUAUUCGGAAUAAUUGGGCGUAAAGGGCGCGUAGACGGCGCAUUAAGUCUGUUGUUAAAUUCUUCGGCUCAACUGAAGGCCUGCAACGGAAACUGAUGUGCUAGAGUGUGGGAGAGAGAAGUGGAAUUCUUGGAGUAGCGGUAAAAUGCGUAGAUCUCAAGAGGAACACCGAUGGCGAAGGCAGCUUCUUGGUCCACUACUGACGUUGAGGCGCGAAAGCGUGGGGAGCAAACAGGAUUAGAUACCCUGGUAGUCCACGCUGGUAAAACGAUAAUUCACUAGACGUUAGUCCUGUUUUUACGGGGAUUAGUUGUCCAAA